rnacentral:lncRNA from 1 species
UUAGAAACCACUCUUCAAUUCAACUGAGACCUUAAUCCGAAACUUCUAUAUUCAACAUGGGGUGUCUCGAGAAUUCCCUAGUCCACGCACAAAGAGGGAAGAUAUACCCCACCGGUUUUGGGUGUUGUCAACAAAGAGGGCACACGAGUUCAGAUAAGAUUUUCCUCUUCCAUAGGUCCUCGGUUGUUGGGAGAGCAUUCUAAUAUAAGCUCCACAUGUAUUGUUUGACUAUGGGGGGUUGUCAAGGUUCGAUAUCAUAUUCCAUACCUCUUUUGGGGGUCGAUACGAUGAUGAUGCUUGGUUCGCUUAUUGUUGGUUCACUGUUCCUCUUGGGUUGUUGGAGGCACUCUUAUUUUUAAGGGUUUGAUAUGAUGUAGGCACUCUUAUCCUUCGCAAAGAUAACCAGGGCUCCCAAAGGUGAAACGCUUGGCAAGAUGAAACCCUUAUCAAGUCCUGUGGUUGAAUCUU